UAGGAAAUGAUUAUCUCAUAAUCAGGAAAUUAACUUGUCAGCACUGGCCUGGCGGUGCCACACCUGCUUGGUGAGCAGGCAGGCAAGGUGGCUGCAGAUUCCACUUUGCCCCAUAAUGAAGGUGUAACCCAGCUCAAGCCUGAGAGCUAGGACAGCCAUCAAGCCAGGCCCAAGGAUCAGUAGGCAGGUCUCCAGCAGCAUACCUCAACCUUUUCUACCCCCUGACUCCAUGGUGCCCUUGUCCUGGAAUUCCCAGCUAUGCAUGUGCAUGCAGCUCUACCUAUGCAGAGGCACACAGUCUUUAGCUCCAAAGCCCACCCUGUCAGUCCUGACCACCCCUCCACCACCACCCUGCACCCUUUUACAGCAGUCACCUGUCCACCCCACCAAUGGGGAGAGACAGCAGCAGAAGGGCUUGACUCACAGAAGGGAUUUGUAAGUGUGUGCUUGAUUGCACCAGCUGCCCAGGAGGCAGGCUGGGCUGAGGGGGAGGCAGACAAUGCUAACCAAUGAGGAGGUCAGCUCCCUGCUCAGAGGCCAAGCCUCUGCUGCCUCUCUGCACACCUAAUGCACAUUUCCUCCCAGCGUGAACCCAACCCCUGCCCCUGAGCCCUCCCCGCCCUUGCAGGCCCUGCCUGGUGCCCCCUACCCCACCUCUAGAAGCUUCCGUUGAUGCUUCAGUUACUCCAGGGGUUCCCUCCUUGCCCUCUCAGGCACUGCACAGUGAGCAGCCAGGCAAGAGCCCAUGAGGGCAGGGGUGAGUGGUUAUCUUUUGCCUGUAUUCAGCUUCUGGCGCACGUCUCCCAGGUGCACAGUGGGUGCUGAGAGCUGGCAAAGACAGACGUGGACUUGGGCCACUCUGCACCCCAGAGCCAAUGCCCACACUCCAUAAAACGUCUGGUGGCACUGCCUGUGUGAGCACAGACUUCCUUGUCAAGCAGGGUCUGGAAUCGAUUCCCAGAGUCCUUUCUUUUGCAAAAGGAUUUGCGUUGGGUUUGGAAAACCUGUGGUUCCAGCUGGCCCACAAGCAGGGGGAAGGAUGGGUUGUCUCUUGAGGUUUGGAUGGCAAAGGCCUCUGGGGCCUCGCUUUCCCAUCCUGUGUCUCUUCCCGCUUUGGCAUUCUGACACCCCUCCCCUGUGAUCAUGAGUCCCGACAAAAAGAAGGCCCUUGGUCCAGCUGCCUGUGGAAAUGAGAGGUGUUUACACCUCAGGGGAACAGUGAACACAGAGACAGGUGACACAGAAUAUAAAACACCCAUCCCUAAGAGACAGAACAGA
rnacentral:lncRNA from 1 species